GUGACCAUUUAUAUUACUGUUGCUACCACUGUUACAAAGUUGCAGUAAAUCUUGUACAAAGAACUUCCCAUGCACUUGGGCUGAAAGUAUAAAAGGAAACUGUGACAUCACUUCUUUGUCUUCAUUCCUGCUCCUCACCUCUGGAUUGUGAUUUUCUAACAGAAGGAAGCUCUGAACAAAGGACUGAGGACCCCCAAUCCAAAGAGCCUUUUUGAAAGCUGGCAGACUUACCAUCACAGCUAUGAACCUGAUUUACAGACUCUAAAAUCACUUGUAAUGUAUAUGGUUCCUUUAGCCAUUUUAAAACUCUUAUUUUUUAUUAAUAAACCUUUAGUUAUUAUUCUGCUAAA